CAGUAGCCGCGGGAAAACAGAGGGUGCAAGCGUUAAUCGGAAUUACUGGGCGUAAAGCGCGCGUAGGUGGUUUGUUAAGUUGGAUGUGAAAUCCCCGGGCUCAACCUGGGAACUGCAUCCAAAACUGGCAAGCUAGAGUAUGGUAGAGGGUGGUGGAAUUUCCUGUGUAGCGGUGAAAUGCGUAGAUAUAGGAAGGAACACCAGUGGCGAAGGCGACCACCUGGACUGAUACUGACACUGAGGUGCGAAAGCGUGGGGAGCAAACAGGAUUAGAUACCCCGGUAGUCCCUGUCUCUUAUAC
rnacentral:rRNA from 1 species